UCCGUAGGUGAACCUGCGGAAGGAUCAUUACUAGAGCAAAGGACAGACAGCGCCCCACAGGAGCUUGCUCCGUGGCGGGCUACCCCUUAGCGGUGUACUCCGCGGGGGUUUAGAGUCGUCGAACCUCUCGAAGAAGUUCGGUCCCAAACUCCACCCUUGAAUAAAUUACCUUUGUUGCUUUGGCAGGUCGCCUCGUGCCAGCGGCUUCGGCUGUUGAGUGCCUGCCAGAGGACCACAACUCUUGUUUUUAGUGAUGUCUGAGUACUAUAUAAUAGUUAAAACUUUCAACAACGGAUCUCUUGGUUCUGGCAUCGAUGAAGAACGCAGCGAAAUGCGAUAAGUAAUGUGGAUUGCAGAAUUCAGUGAAUCAUCGAAUCUUUGAACGCACAUUGCGCCCUCUGGUAUUCCGGGGGGCAUGCCUGUUCGAGCGUCAUUAUAACCACUCAAGCUCUCGCUUGGUAUUGGGGUUCGCGGUUUCGCGGCCCCUAAAAUCAGUGGCGGUGCCUGUCGGCUCUACGCGUAGUAAUACUCCUCGCGAUUGAGUCCGGUAGGUCUACUUGCCAGCAACCCCCAAUUUUUUACAGGUUGACCUCGGAUCAGGUAGGGAUACCCGCUGAACUUAAGCAUAUCAAUAAGCGGAGGAA
rnacentral:rRNA from 1 species